UUCGUCGGGUUGGAUCUAGUUAGCUUAGUAGUCAAACGUACACACACUAAUAAAUUAGUUAGACUGAUUGGGCCACUAAUACGUACGUAUACAAUAAUGUCAUAUAUGCACAUCGGCACAGGCGUACAGGUAUGAGGGCCAACUCUCACGCCAGGACGCACGUAUACGAGACCAACUCUCACUCGAGGUCGAGGAUAGCCCAGUCCCUUUCGUUCCCCGCUCGCACGACCUGCUGUCAGUGCCCCCGCCGUGAUGACUCCGGCCGGUCGCCGCCAUCUCCGGCGCCGCCGCCACAUGGCGCUGGUCCGCCUCUUCAUUCUCCCCACUCGUUUGCCCGCCAUCUCGAAGCUCGCCCAACCCUCACGCACCCACCAAGAAAUCCUAUCCCCCUGCAGUUUCGGCUGAUGCCGGCCCUGCCGUUUUUCUCCGGCCACCUCCGGCCUUCUUCGGCGCCGGCGAGAUGGUUUUCUGGUUCUCCUCGACGUUCUCUACCUCUCUGUCCUGCUCGAUUUGACUCUCGAGUCCUGUCUCGUACAUCCCCACUCAAGAACCCUAGCUCGAUGUCGGUUUGAUUCAGCCGUUUGCCGGCCGUCUCUGGCGCCGCUGCGGCAUGGAUUUCUAGCGCUCUCUACUCCAUGCCGCUGCCGCGCUAUACUGCGCCCCCGCUCACGCCCGGCUUGACCAUGGAGAUUCCUGCUCGUCUCCGUCGUCUGCUUCUACUCAUCAACGGCGACCUCCAGUUCUUCAUUGUCGACCUCGAGCCCCAACUCGAGUUCUUGCUCUACUGCUACUAUGUGCUCCUGCUCCUCUACAUUUACUUGGACGUCGGCGGGAUGGUGGUGUGUCUGCAACCCCGGCGUUCGUGUGCUAGUGGCACUGCUGUGAUGGGGAUUCUUUUGUUGCCACUACAUCCCCGACCUCGAUGCCGGCGGACCGGUGCCGCAGACGCAACUCCGGCAUCGCCUACUACACCUAUUUUCUAUUGCACUCACUGUGAGCUACCCCUCUCUCUAAUCUCUGUACUUCUUUAUGGCUACAGAGUGGUGAUAUGUGUUGGUUGUGCUCAGUGGGGUGUUGGCUUGAGAAUUGAUUCACUUACGAAUAACAUAUGCUAAUUGUAAGGCCUCAAUUUAGACGAGGUGAUUGUCCCUGGCAGGGAUAAUUUUCUACUGUGAAUUAAUUUUGACAAAUUGGUUUCUUUAAAGAUUCAGCCAAAUUAAGUUUUGUGAGAAUUUCGCUUUUCUCUGGUAUGGACUCAAGUUUGUUGGUUUAAAUUGGUUGUUAUCACGCUAGAGUAUAUCUUUUUGAUAUCAAACCCUUAGUGGUCUGUGUCUAAAGCUAAUGUGCUUGUUAUUUGAGUGGUUGCUAUACUACCAGAACCUUUUAGUGCAAAAUUUCCUUAUACAUGUGCACUGCUGUGUUAUUUUGGGUUGGGCUUGAAUACUUGUGAUGAUGACGUUCUCAUCUGAUCAUGUAUGUAUACAGAUAUUAUAUUGAUGGGACUAUAGCCUGUUUAUUAUGGCUUUCUGGCUGGAUCCAGAUGAUCUACUGAUGCUCUGCUCAUUGAUAAGGGUGGAUUAACAGUUAUGUUUAUGUGUAUGUGCAAGGUGAUGAUGUCGUCAAUGGACAGAACUGUUGCUAGAUAAUUUUACUGAUAUGAACAGAUAUGUGCUUGUUUUCUUGGCCGAGCCUGUGAUGCAUAGGCUGAGGCAUGAUUGAUGAUAUGAACAGAUACUAAUAUGUGACUUUCUAAAUCUCUUUGAGGAUUCAACAGAGCACUUCUCUGUUAUUCUGAGAGAAAUCCAUCUCUCUAUCCUCCUAGAUGAACAUCUAUUUGAAGGGUAGUUAGAUGUGUUUUUCGUGUUUACUCCUACAGAUGUCUAUGCAAAUUUAAGAGCAGAUAUUGCCUGAUAUAUGGAGGCUAUUGAUUGGUGUCUACCUGUUGCUGCUGCACUUAUGUAGCCUGGAGUUGUAGAUUUUUAUACACCUUGCAUCUUGGGGCAUGCCUGCACCUCCUCUCUGCUUCUUCUUCUUCCCGGUGAUCCACUUGCUGAUCUUGGUGUUUACUAGGGUUGCUAUACUGUUGAUUGUGUUCUUGUUGGGCAACUGAUACAAAUGAUUGAUAGAACAGAUAUCUGAUGUGAUAUGGUGUUUGUAAGGUGUUCUUGCUAUCUAGGAUUAGUAUUCCUAGUGCUGAAUGAGAUGCAUGUUGGUAAGUGAUGCAAAUGGAUGUUGGUACGGCUGGGCAAUUUCAUUUAUAUGGCUGUCUAGUGCUUCUAUGGAUGACAACACAUCUCUGCAUGUGGUGACUAUGCUGCUGUUGGGUGGCCCCUCCUCUUGUGCAGGUUCACAAGUUGGUUUGCUUCUACUCCUAGUGCAAGCAACGGCUGAGUGGUCUUUAUCCCUUGCUAGACCAUUCUUUUAUGUGGUGCCAAGUGGUUAAUCCUUAUUGGCUAAUAUUAUUAUGUGAGCUAAAUACCUCCAGUAUGCCCCCAAAAUAUGAUUAAGCUUUGCUUAAUUACUAAGUGGUUUGUGGUUAGUUGGCUUAGGAUCAUAUUGACUAUGCUAUGUCAAAGAUGAUCCAUUUAAAAUAAUUGGUGGGUUUUCUUAAAACAUGAACUUGACUAAGUUAGAGGGAUUAAUUAUUUGCCUUGACGUCUAAUAGAAUCGGAUCUUAAUGUUGCCUCUUGUUUCUUCUCUUGUGUGAAUUAUUCAGUGUUGCAUGAUGUUGCCUUGUCCUUGUUGCCUCAUGAUCCCAAUGAUCCAUUUUCCCCUUUUAUGAUACAAAGAUUAUCCAUAAUCCGAAGUUGCUUAUAGAUUGAGAUUGAUCCCUCUAGCUGACACUUAGAUAUUAUGACAAGUUCCUAAUAUCUACUAGUCGAGUUCUAAAACAUUAAGAUGCCUCAUCUUUGAUGAUGGCAACAUUUUAAUCAUAACAAAAUUAUCUUCUUUGUCUUUGUUGUUUGUUUUGCAGGGAAAAGUAGAACAAGAAUAUCAAGAUUAGAUUUAGGGAUUCUUUUUGUUUCUUUGUACUCUUCUAUUUCUUUUGUAGCUUAUAAAUAAUCGAAUUAUGAUAAUUGUAAUAAGCUUUAAAUUAUUUAUCUAUUUUGAAUUCUCAAA